AAGUCAGAUGUGAAAGCCUUCUGUUCAAAGGAAGAACGGCAUCUGAAACUGCAAAUCUUGAGUGUAGGAGGGGAGAGUGGAACUUCUGGUGGAGCGGUGAAAUGCGUAGAUAUCAGAAGGAACGUCGGCGGCGAAAGCGACUCUCUGGCCUAUUACUGACACUGAGUGUGCGAAAGUUAGGGGAGCAAACGGGAUUAGAUACCCCGGUAGUCCUAACUGUAAACGAUGGGCACUAAGUAGAGGGAAUUACCAAUGUUCUCUCUGCCGUAGCUAACGCAUUAAGUGCCCCGCCUGGGGAGUACGGCCGCAAGGCUAAAACUCAAAAGAAUUGACGGGGGCUCGCACAAGCGGUGGAGCAUGUGGCUUAAUUCGAUGCAACGCGAAAAACCUUACCGGGGUUUGACAUGGUAGAAGUAGGAGCCCGAAAGGGUAACCAACGGUAUCCAGUCCGUAACUACUGCAGGUGUUGCAUGGCUGUCGUCAGCUCGUGUCGUGAGACGUUGGGUUAAGUCCCCUAACGAGCGAAACCCUUAUUUUUAGUUACCAGCACGUUAUGGUGGGCACUCUAAGGAGACUGCCGGUGACAAACCGGAGGAAGGUGGGGAUGACGUCAAGUCAUCAUGGCCCUUACGGCCAGGGCUACACACGUGCUACAAUGGUCGGUACAAAGGGUUGCCAAG
rnacentral:rRNA from 1 species